rnacentral:snoRNA from 1 species
CUGAGUCCAUGAUGAUGUAAAGUUAUCCCUGUCUGAAGGCAAAAGGCCUUUCUGUGUGGAACGUGGAUGUCUGAAACUCAG